UAAUACGUAGGGGGCAAGCGUUGUCCGGAAUUACUGGGCGUAAAGGGUGCGUAGGCGGUUGCCUAAGUCAGAUGUGAAAUCCCCGGGCUUAACUCGGGUGGUGCAUUUGAAACUGGGUGGCUAGAGUGCAGGAGAGGGAAGCGGAAUUCCUAGUGUAGCGGUGAAAUGCGUAGAUAUUAGGAGGAACACCAGUGGCGAAGGCGGCUUUCUGGACUGUAACUGACGCUGAGGCACGAAAGCGUGGGGAGCAAACAGG
rnacentral:rRNA from 1 species